ACACGAGAGAGGAGGUGGUCCGUAACUUUGCUGAGCUACAGGACUCGUGAGGUGGCUGUCCGCUAGCCGCCGUCCAGAUGGGCCGCCCGUUCAGACUCAUGUCUGAGCGACGGCAGAUCGCCCGUCCGUCGUACGGCGGCGAGCGAGAACCGGACAGUCACCCGACCCCCGGGCCGCCGACAGUUGUCCAGUCGGCCCGCGUGCAGCUCCCUCUCCGGAGGUCAGCGCCGCGGAGCAGCCCGGGGGUUGUCCGUG
rnacentral:sRNA from 1 species